UGCAUUGUAAACCAGAAGCAAACUAAUUGUGGAUGUCAGCAGGCACCGAUUAAGCAAAAAUAUUCCUGCUCGACCGCGGCAGAAUGUCCCAGCAAACCAAUCGUGUGUUGCCGCUCGUCGAUAAAAAACAAUUCGGAAUUUAAAACGUACUUCAAGAAAAUGUUAUCGAAAAAGAAUAGUUGUAGUAAAAAAUUAGAAGAACAUAAUCGAAAGUCACCCCUGAAUGUAUGCAGUCUACAGAAAAUGGGUUCUACUUGUCGUGUAGAUCAUACAGCGAUUAAAUGUGAAUGUUUGAAAAGCGGAGUAAGAUCAAUCAUAGUUCCUUGCCACUCGGGUAUUGUCCAGAAAAGGUCGUCAGCUUGUGGAGCAAACACCAUUUGUCAUCUUCGUUGAUGCAUAGAUAUUUUAACCAAGUCUUAACAUUUGUAAUCUCGAAAAAUACAUUCUAUCUAGUCCAUAUAUACAAUGUCUACUUAAAAAAAAAUUGUAAAAUCUGUAACGUUUAUCAAUUUAAUUGAUCGCCAUAAUUAAUA